rnacentral:rRNA from 1 species
AUUGAACGCUGGCGGCAGGCCUAACACAUGCAAGUCGAACGGUAGCACAGAGAGCUUGCUCUCGGGUGACGAGUGGCGGACGGGUGAGUAAUGCCUGGGAAACUGCCCGAUGGAGGGGGAUAACUACUGGAAACGGUAGCUAAUACCGCAUAACGUCUUCGGACCAAAGUGGGGGACCUUCGGGCCUCACACCAUCGGAUGUGCCCAGGUGGGAUUAGCUAGUAGGUGGGGUAAUGGCUCACCUAGGCGACGAUCCCUAGCUGGUCUGAGAGGAUGACCAGCCACACUGGAACUGAGACACGGUCCAGACUCCUACGGGAGGCAGCAGUGGGGAAUAUUGCACAAUGGGCGCAAGCCUGAUGCAGCCAUGCCGCGUGUAUGAAGAAGGCCUUCGGGUUGUAAGGUACUUUCAGCGGGGAGGAAGACGGUGGAGUUAAUAACUUCACUGAUUGACGUUACCCGCAGAAGAAGCACCGGCUAACUCCGUGCCAGCCGCCGCAGUAAGAC